rnacentral:rRNA from 1 species
AACGGCAGCACGGGUGCUUGCACCUGGUGGCGAGUGGCGAACGGGUGAGUAAUACAUCGGAACAUGUCCUGUAGUGGGGGAUAGCCCGGCGAAAGCCGGAUUAAUACCGCAUACGAUCUACGGAUGAAAGCGGGGGACCUUCGGGCCUCGCGCUAUAGGGUUGGCCGAUGGCCGAUUAGCUAGUUGGUGGGGUAAAGGCCUACCAAGGCGACGAUCAGUAGCUGGUCUGAGAGGACGACCAGCCACACUGGGACUGAGACACGGCCCAGACUCCUACGGGAGGCAGCAGUGGGGAAUUUUGGACAAUGGGCGAAAGCCUGAUCCAGCAAUGCCGCGUGUGUGAAGAAGGCCUUCGGGUUGUAAAGCACUUUUGUCCGGAAAGAAAUCCUUGGUUCUAAUAUAGCCGGGGGAUGACGGUACCGGAAGAAUAAGCACCGGCUAACUACGUGCCAGCAGCCGCGGUAAUACGUAGGGUGCGAGCGUUAAUCGGAAUUACUGGGCGUAAAGCGUGCGCAGGCGGUUUGCUAAGACCGAUGUGAAAUCCCCGGGCUCAACCUGGGAACUGCAUUGGUGACUGGCAGGCUAGAGUAUGGCAGAGGGGGGUA